UUGGAAGGGAUAUCUUCUUCUCGUCUUCUCCGUCUCCUCAAACAUAAACCAGAUCUAAAAAAGCCAAAAGAAAGCUCUCGUUUUCCAUCACUUCUGCACCUCAUCUUUCUUGUUUUCCAUCCAUGAUUCGAUGUCAAUCUUUUCAUCAUUUACUUCGAUCUGUAACCAAUUUUUUCGAUCCAUAAGUAUUUUAUUUCUAUAAUCUCAACUGAGAGCCAUCUUUUUCCUUGAAUUUUAAACUGUACCUUUUUAUAUUUCGUCUAGUAACAGUAGAAAAAAGAUGGAAACCCAUUUUUUUCAUCAUCAGUAAAGAAGAGUAAAACAGGAAUCAACCGUGAAGACGUUUUGAAUCCCCUUUUAUUUCAUCAUUGUCGGUGGAUUUUUCUGUGGUACAAAACAUGAAGUGAAAUCCCUAUUUUUUUUUUAGUUUCAGUUUUCCGGUGGUAUUUGGUUUGAUUUAGUGGUGGUGUUAUUCAGUUCUUGGCUGUAAGAAUCAAAGAAGAUGAAUUUGAGAUGGGAUCGAUGGAUGGGUUUGUUUUAGAGAAGUGAAGAAAUUGCAAUCGAACGAUGAAGAUGAAGAAGAUGGUUCCAUGUUGAAUCUGGUGAUGAUAAAUUUUGUUGAUUCGUCUUCUUCUUUGACGAGAUGCAGAUAAUUUACAUUACCAAAGAUGUAUGUAUUUCAUUCUCUUUUUCCUACUGGAAGAUAAAGAGGAGGACAAGAAACUUGUAAUAUUAAAGAGUUCAAAUGCUGUGAACCCUCUAGUACAAGGAGAAGAUUACACUGUGAGUAUAAAUUCAACUACAAUGCAUUUGAUUUCUAUAAAAAUCAUGUCCAUGCUUGUCAGCUAGCACUCGGUUCUUUUGGUGCCUAUUUAACAAAGAGUAGUUCCUGUUGUUAUUUUUGUGAUCAUAUGUAUCGGAAAAAGGCCAAGGCCUGUUUGUGGAGUUUCAUGUUUCAAGUGAAGUGAGAAACCAAAAUUCCUUUCAAUUGAGCAACCAGGGAUGCUCGAUUGAAACCUGGGAGAUCAAUACCUUCAUCAGUUCUUAAAGGUGUUAAAGGCUUAUCCAUUUUGGCUGGAGUUGUUGAUAGCACUUGGCCUGGCAGAGAAGGUAGUGAACUGCAGGUGGUCUUGUAACUGCUUACAGGGAAGCUGGAAGGAUUUUGCAGUUACAUUGGUUGAAUGAUGUACAAGCUCUGUUUUACGUACUCUGUAUUUUGUUGUACAAGCUCUGUUUUGCUAUGUUUUUUACUCUGUUUUAGUGCUCUGUUUUUUGCUCUGUUUUGCUUGCAAUUAACUCGUAAAACAAAGCAAAUUAAUUCUGUUUUUUUUUGUUGUCGUUGUACUCUGUUUUUUUUAUAGAUUUCUCUGUUUUCUUCUCCAACCCAGUAAACAUUUGUAGAAGAUAGGGACAUAAUUGUCUCUUCAGGUUAAUAAUUAAAAAAUAUUAUGGGUCAAAUAUCCAUUUUGGCUAAA